GAAGGUAUUGCUCAGUGGUAGAGUGUGUGCUUAGCAUGCACAAGGUCCUGGGUUCAAUCCCCAGUACUGUCA
rnacentral:tRNA from 1 species